rnacentral:lncRNA from 1 species
CCUUGGAUGACAUUUCCCUUCUCUGCUUCAGUUGAUCCUCCUGGUGUAAUGGAGGCGAUGGAGGUCUGGAGCUGAACGGGAUGGGGGUUGAUAAAGGGGAGACUCCUCCUCCCCUGCCCGUGAAGGGCAUCUCUGCUGAUUAUGGGAACCUGCUAGGAGAUAAUCAAGACUUGACGAGUCCCUCCACCCCUCCCCUGACACACCAUCAAAGGCAUCUGCCACCACCUCUUCCCAGCAAGACCCCUCCUCCCCCUCCUCCUAAGACCACCAGGAAACAAGCCUCCAUCGAUUCAGGAAUUGUACAAUGAACAAUGACAUUAAGACACCCGAUAUAAAAAAACAAGGUUCUUUCCCCUCUGUAAUCUCUUCCCCCCAUGCGUUCCAAAAUGGCGGCCUAUUUCCAAUAGUGCACUACUUUGGACUACUUUUGACCAUAGGGCUCUGGUCAAACGUAGGGCCACUAUAUAGUGAAGAGUGUGCCAUUUGGGGAAACAGCAACAGUCUGACCAGGAGUGAAAGAAGAGUAUCUCACUCAGGUAACACUCCUUAUUGAGCCACUCAUUUUGGCUGUGUCCCAAACGGCACCCUAUUCCCAAUAUAGUGCACUACUUUUGACCACGGCCCCGAUAAGGCUCUGGUAAAUAGUAGUUCACUACGUAGGGAAUAGGGUGCCAUUUGGGGCAGAGCCUCAUUGGAUUCUUUCAUUUUUGCCUCAAGUGUGAUGAUGCGGUCUACUUUACCGUAGGUAGAUAGGUGAAUCAGUUUCACAUGAUUACUGGUCACUGAAUUUAUUGAUGCUAUCUAUCAUCUAUGACUCUAUUCUCCACUUGAUACCACUUAGUUCAGGCCUUUGUAAUGCUAUGAGGUCGUGUUCCACCUAUAGAAUUAGAAUGAGUGAAAUGAAUAUAGAAUCAGAACCAGGUGAAUGAAGCGUUCUCUGGUUCUGUCUUUUACACUUUGACCAAUAGACAGGCUGGUGAGUGACGACCAACGUUCUGACCCUUCCCACCUGCUCUUAGAAACCGGGGAGCACAUAGUAACAGAAACAUGCUUUUUAUUCUGUGGUUUAUCUUUUGUAUCCAUAGUUACAGAAAACAUCAUUUUAUUCAGUGGUUUAUCUUUUUUUAUCC